ACUUUGGGGAGUUUGAUUGAUUGAUGUUCUGCUGAUACUGGGGUGAAGAUGUCGGUCAGGCGUUUGGCAGCGGCCGCUCUCUUAACACUCACAGUACUGACAUCAGUGAGAGCUCAAGUAAUGCCUCCAUCAGACUUGAGGUUUAAGAUUUUAAAUGAAAACACAGUGCAAAUGAUAUGGAAGCAUCCGCUGUCAAGGACCGAGGGCUUCAGAGUACAAGUGACAUCGGAUACAGAAGAGCCUGUUAAGGAAUUCACACUUCCUCCAACCUCGACCAAAACCUCCAUCAGAGAUUUGACCCCCGAUGUGGAUUAUGUUGUUACGAUAAUUUCGUAUUUUGGUUCAGAGGUCAGAUUAC